CCUACGGGAGGCAGCAGUGAGGAAUAUUGGACAAUGGGCGCAAGCCUGAUCCAGCCAUGCCGCGUGCAGGAUGACGGUCCUAUGGAUUGUAAACUGCUUUUAUACGAGAAGAAACACUCCUUCGUGAAGGAAUUUGACGGUAUCGUAAGAAUAAGGAUCGGCUAACUCCGUGCCAGCAGCCGCGGUAAUACGGAGGAUCCAAGCGUUAUCCGGAAUCAUUGGGUUUAAAGGGUCCGUAGGCGGUUUAAUAAGUCAGUGGUGAAAGCCCAUCGCUCAACGGUGGAACGGCCAUUGAUACUGUUAAACUUGAAUUAUUAGGAAGUAACUAGAAUAUGUAGUGUAGCGGUGAAAUGCUUAGAGAUUACAUGGAAUACCAAUUGCGAAGGCAGGUUACUACUAAUGGAUUGACGCUGAUGGACGAAAGCGUGGGUAGCGAACAGGAUUAGAUACCCUGGUAGUCCACGCCGUAAACGAUGGAUACUANACUGUGGUAGANAUUACUAGUGUGUAGACGAAGUAGAGUAAGUA
rnacentral:rRNA from 1 species